rnacentral:misc_RNA from 1 species
UGACCUCGCUCUGUGCAUACACCUCGACGCAGUCUCACCGCUGCCGCUACGUCACCACUGCCACGACCACCGCCACCACCAACCAGCCCUUACACAGCACUGCCACACCGUGUUUCAGUUGAGGAGCGUCGCCACACACUCACACGCCCACGCAUAUUCCCCAUCCACGAACGCGUGCGUGCCUUUCUGCGUUGCUGCGUGUGUGUUUAUGCAUAAGCCUGCUUUCGAGCUGAGCCGUCACGGCGAGUGCGGUGCGUUCCGCUUUCUCUGCUCCUUCCCCCCCUUCGCCUUCCUUCCCUCCUUCCGUUGGCCUGCUGUCGACUUCAUCGUCUCCGUGACUCGCUCGCUCGCGCCUUUUUUUCCUUUUUUUCGUUCAAACCUGUAUGUAUAUAUCCACACUGCGUGCACGUCUUGUUCGUGCGCGUGUGCUUCGUCUCUUCAUGGUUUGAGAGUGCUUAGGCGGUGGCGACUUCGUUGAGCGCCCCGCCCUGCGCCUCUCCCCUCCUCUGUUUUCUCUUCCCGGGCGGCGUAGCGGAAACACAUACACAUUCCUUCUUUCUCUUCGUCUCCCGUUUUGUGUCUUGUAGACUCUCUUCCUUUAUACUUCAUCUUUCUCUGCGUGUGUGGCUUGUGCGUGGCGAUCGGCGUCGCUGUCUUUUGCACCUUUGGUCAUCUCCUUGUGCUGCCGUCCAGCACGCACAAGACGUGCAUCGGCGCGCUCGAAGAAGACCCGAGACAAAAGCUGAGCGGGGAACCUCGACGCGCCGUUGUGCACACACAUAUAUAAAUAUAUAUAUAUAUAUAUAUUGGCUCAUUCAUGAUUUUGCCUAUGGUGCUCUCCUCCGUCUCUGCCGGUGCACCUGUUUCUCCCUCCAAGCAUCCCCGCUGCAGGCACCCAACAGACACCAAACACGUACACACACACACACACACACACACGACACGCGUGCAGCUCAAGCUGUGAAGGAGGGAUGUCGUCAUUGCCGCCGUCGCAGCCGCGGUGCGAAGCGCCCACUGUCGGAGCAACACAUGCACUGCGGCCGCUUCAUUCUCUUCCUCCGCCGCUCACUUCAGCGCCUGCUGGCUCGACUGCUGCGUUGUAUGAAGGUGUGCGCCUUACCCCCAGUGCUCUGAAGUCCAUCAUCGGGUACUUGCCAUGCAACGCCACCGCUACUAUCGGCAACACAGCCAACAUCCACAGAAAUGGCGGUGCUGUAAUCAGUGCCAGUCGUGCUGCAGACGGCCGACCAGCAUGCUCGCCGCUCAUCAUGGCCGACGCGCUCUUUGCAGCGGCGGCGCAGGCGCCGUCUACAUCCGCAGCGACCGCUGCCUCCGCUGGCGCACCGUUGACGCCGCCGGUGCCGGUGACUGUGACGCGACCGCUGGCAUUCGUGGCGGCGUCUCCGCAGUCGCGGCGCGGGCUGGAGAUGCACCUCACCGGUGGCUGCGCGCUGCCGCCACUUGGCUCGCUGGUUCUGCAGGUUCAGCCACAUAGACCGUCGCCGGUCGCCGCGAUGCGUCCGUUGCGAGUGGGUGCGCGGCACGCGUCUCGACGCCGCGUGGCCUCCCCGGCGCAAGUCGGGGCUGCCCAUCACCAUGAUGAGAGGGCGUCAGCCGCGUCACUCCCGGCACUUAUUGUAUCGUCUACGAACGUGGCCAUCCCGGCGCUGCCGUUCCAGCCAGUGCGCUCGCUCUCGAGCUCGCCAGUCACGCGGCCGCAGACGGCAGCGAUGCCGUCGACGUUAUCAACUCCGUUACCACCAGCGAUGGCAGCGGCCCUCGGCGACGAUGAUGUCCGCACAUCGGGUAGCUUUUCGCCAGCACCCCAACCGCCGCCGCCGCUACCCUCGCAGUCCGCUGUUCGUCAGAGUCGCCGACUUCCAGUGGUUGCCGCAACGCCGCCCGCUGACUGGUCUCCAUUUUCCUCGGCACUGGUGGCGCGGACACGCACCAGCCCUGUUUCGGCUUCGCGCCGCUCGCUGAAAACUGCGUCACCGACCUCGACAGCGCAGGAGGCCUUCGGUGCGGUGGCGGCGGGGGCCGAUAGCAAAGCCGCCUUCGCGUUAGGUGCCAGCGAAGCCCCCACAACGCGCGCCUGUGUUUCCACCGGCGCGUCGCCGUCGCUGCGGCCUGCGCGUGCAACACCGCCUGCCACUUCUCCUCCGCCGGCGCCGCCUCCGUCGUCUACGUCCGCCGCUCUGCAGACGCUCUGCCACGCGCUGUGGUGGGUGCGCCGUGGUCCGUUGCCAGUGUCGCUGAGUCUCUGGCGGUACAGGCAAGCGGACAUAUCGGUUGUGUGGGCGAUGCUGUCGGAGUCACCUCCGCCACACCCGCAGGAGGCGGCGGGGCUGGUGAUGAGGGGGGAGGGCACGGAGAAACCACGACCUCUUCCUUCAUCACCAAUGCACGAGCACCGCGGUCAGGCGGCACACACGCUUGAUAAGCCUCGGGAGAACUGUCAUCCUACUCCAGCGAGAGAGGGCGAUGACGUGCGUGGCUUUAGGGCCCCUGCCAAUGACCCGGCCCAUGGUCUCGUGGCUGAUGUGAGUGGCGGGGCAGUGGUGGUUGCCAGCGCCGAAGGGGUGACCGACACAACACAGUCGUCUGGCAUCACGGAAGUCAUUACGACCACCGCCGCCUGCAGUGGGCACUUGUGCCCCGCGUGCCAUUCUCUGAACUUCGAUCCUGCAUCGACACAGCCGAUAUGGCCACCAAGGGCACCAGAAGGAGAGGGAGCAGCUGCCAACGCCGACAAAAACAACGGCACACUUGAGCAUCGACUGGGCAGCCCUGCCGACACCGUGCCAACGUCGUCUUUUGCACCGGCGGCACCAGCGAAUCCCAUGCUCCGCUCCCCUGUGAUGCAGCUGCAUGUCCACGGCAAAGCGGCCGAUGCCGCGCUGACGGAGCUGCUGCCGGCCCAUCCGGAGGUGCGUUCGCUGCGUCUCACGCAUGGCACCCUGUCUGACGCGCAGCUGCGGCACCUCGCCCGCGUCUGCCCCGACGUGACGCAUCUUUCGCUGGCCAUGAACAGUCGAAUCCAGACAACCGCCUUUCUUUGCCCGCCACUGUCGGAUACUUCAUCCGUAUCGCCCUCGGCCACCACGGUCACCACGACGGCGACCUCGCGGACGGAGGCCGUCGGCUCGCCCAAGCAGGACUUUCCGCACCAACUCACUCGCCUGCAUCCGGGAGGGGUAUACCACACUGCCGCCACCACCUCCCAGACGGCACCGCCGGUCUUGUCACCACUCUCCUCUCGGCCUCCCUUUGCGACGCGUGGCGCGAGCGACACGGCGGACGCGCUUGGCACUCGCAGCGAGGGCAGCCGUGGUACAGACGCCUCCCCGCCGCAGUCACCGUCGUAUUUGCCACACAGCCUGUGCUCGCCGUACCAGAACAGCCAGCUCGAUCUCUUCGCCCCGGACGAGGAAGGGGAGCUGGAGAUGCGGAUAUCGCUUUGGCAGGCGGCGCAGACAGAUGCGGAGGAACGGCGCCAGCCCGUCUUCAUUCUACGCCCGCAGGACGUCGUACUGGGCAGAUAUGGCGGAGCAGCAGGCAAGGAUGGCAGCCGUACUGGUGCCUCGACGACUGGUGGUAGCAGGGACGCUGCUGCUGGCACUACCGCUGCGGCAUUCUCGCGCACGCUGCAGGACAGCGCCAUCGAGCAGUGGACGGCGUCGCACCGGCGGCCCUCACCCCACACUAAGACCGCUGCCAUCGGAGGCACGCCGACAAACGCAGAAUCAGCUCACGAUUCUCGGAGGGUUGCACCAGGAGCGCCACUCCUGAUGGCCAGCACUGCGGCCUCCCUCGCGGAUUUGUCUGGCACGAUACUCAGCCCGCUUCACCUGUCUUCGGCUGCACAUACACCGACGUUAGCUUCAGCUGCAGUUUGGGCUCACACAGACCCUCGACACGGCCUGCGGCUGCGGUCGAGCAACGCGUCGUAUCCGGAGCUGGUGGUGUCGCUGCGGCAGCCCUCCGCGCCGACGUCGACCUCCGUCACUGCGGCAGCCUCGCCGUUAGCCCUGUCUCUGCCCACGCCCCCCACUGCUACGGAUGCGGCUGCUGCGGCUGCUGGCGAGGCAGGGCGCAGUGCAACUUCAGACGCAAAGCGAGCCGACGGGCGUGCGUUUGCCGUGCCAGGCCCGCCCGCACCUGCAGCGCCUGUGCAUCCCAGCUCACCAUCCAGUGGCAGCGCCAUGGAACCCGCUGCGCCGUCUGCUUCCCCACGCCAUCGCUCUCGCGAGCGCCGCCAUCAUUGUGAGGGCUACGGCGGCCCUUUGUUGCGGCCGCGCCCCACAUACUGGGCCGACACCUUGGUUGACCUCGACCUCUCCUACACGCAGGUGUCUGACGAGGACGCCACCCGUGAUCUGCCACAGCUGCGCUGCUUGCAUCGCCUCUCUCUGGAGGGAUGUAUGCGCCUUUCGCAGGUCACAUGGGCGCCGCUGCUGCUCCAUCUGCGCGAGCUGAACUUGUCGCUGUCCUCCCUGCAAGGGCACGCGCUGCACCCGCUGGGGCGCUGCCCACGGCUGGUGUGGCUGAAGCUAGAGGGGUGCUCGUCAUUCACCGCCGUUCACCAGCUGUGGAACAGGGAGGCAGACACGGUCGAUGCGGGAGCGGGGGGCGAUGGCAGCGGCUCGACAGUCGCAGUCGCACGCAUUGUCGCUCCCGCCACGCCUGUGGUUCGUCACACCACCAUCGGCGGUAUCCCAGCCAUCACGGUGCUGCCCCCGCCUGCAGGGCUGAUUACGACUUCCACAGCAACAGCCACACCAACGGCGGCACCAGCUCUGGCAACCUCUCCCUCUACCGGUGCACGUGCGGCGACAGCAGCCAGGGGUGUGGCGGCGGCGGAUGCUCAUGGCGAGGGCAGCGCUGCCGCCACUGUCGACGAAGCGGUGGCAGCAGGAAGUGCCGAGCCCGUUCCUCUGCUGAGUACGCUCUGCGUCCUCAUCGCCGCCAGCACAGGUCUGACCGAUGCCGGGCUUCGCUCCCUCAACAAGUUCGUCGGGCUCGACUGCUUGGUGCUGGACCGGUGCCCUGGGGUAACAGACGUUAGCGUCGCUGCAACGCUGCCGUCUCUGCACACCCUGGACGCCAGUCGCACCCGCGUGACGUCGGAGGGGGUAGCGGGCUUGCGCCUCUCUCGCACACUGAAGCAGCUGCGGCUGCAGGAGUGCCCGGCGUUGUCUCGCCUACCGGUACUCUUGGUCGAGCCUGGCAACCGUGAGGCUACCACGGCUGGUGGUGCUGGAGACGAGGCAUCGGGGCUACGUCGACCGGCGGCGAAAACGGCCGGCAUCUCGCGUCGUCCGUUCCACAAGUACCCGCCCUUGACGGUGCUGGACCUUUCCUACACAAGGCAGCUCACCGCCGACGGGUUGGCAGGGCUUGUGGGCGACGAGGCAACCGUGACAGCGCAGGCUGCUGCUGCCGUGGUAGAGCACCUUGGAGGGCGAGAGGUGGACGGCGACGACAUGGGCCUCGCCCUGGCUGUAGACGAGUCGCUGUCGCCGGCAUCGGUCUUUCCGCACGUACGCCACGUGCUGCUGCGUUCGUGCGACGCCGUGACGCAGCUUCGUCCACUGCGCGGCUUCACGAACGUCGUAGAGCUUGAUCUCUACCACACCAGCGUCACGGAAGCCGCUCUGACGGCUGCGCUGGCGUCUUGGACGUGUCUGGAGGUGCUCAACAUUGCAAGUACGCGAGUGCGUUCGUUGGCGGCGUGGUGUCCGUACGAGCCAAGCGAGACGGUGGCGACUGUUGCAGCGACUACCGGACGGAGUGGGGAUGGGGAUGCAGCGGAAGGCGACGGCGACCUGCAUGCGCAGUUGCCACCGCUGCCGUGGCACGGUCGACUUCCCGCCUUCGCAGCCACCCUGCGCGUACUCGUUCUUUCGAAUACCGACGUCACGGCCUCCGGGCUUGCGGCGUUGACGUUCUUCCCUCAGCUGGAGGUUCUGCAGCUAUCGAGCUGUCCGCGACUCUUGUCCUUGCGGUUCCUGGCGCUGGCUGCUGGCGGUGCAGCGCGGCGCCCAGCCCUAGGUGAGCUUACCGUCACUGAAGCAGCGUACCUCACGAACGCCGAAGCUUUCCCGUACAUCGCGCGCUGCCCUGGUCUCCGCCUUCUCUCGCUAGUGGGGUGCGUGCAGUUGGGCAGUGGUGGUAAUGCACUGCCGGCGCGAGGGACGCAGCAUGAGCAUCUGUCGUCCUCAACUGACGACGACGUCGGCGUGCUUGGCCGUCUGCGGGGGCUGGCAGAGCUGAACCUGUCCAAUACUGGCGUCGACCUUCUCGACCUGAAGAAGAUGCUGUGUGCGCCGACGUCUCUGGGUUUGCUGACAGCGACCGCAGCGCAGCACGAGCAUCUCUAUCAGCGCGUGCCCUUGUCGCUGCAGCGCCUAUGGCUGCGCGGGUGCCGCCACCUGGACGAGGGCGCGCUCAUGUCCACGGCGGCCGCAGCCCUUGAGCACAGCGAACUCCCAUGCGACGGAUCCGGCAGCGGCGGCGGGCGUCCCAUGACGUGUCGGCUGCUGCCCCUGCUACGAGAGGUGUACCUCAGCCAUGGCAAAUACGGCGCUGCAGUGCUUUCUGGUCUGUUCAGCUGAUCGACUUGCGUGCCGCCGUCCGUGCCGCUCCUCCCCCCCACACCACACACAUGUGCGUAGCUCUUCUCCCUUGAAAGGUACAGGCCUGCAAAACGUCGGAAAGAAGACAGAGCGGGGUGUAUGCCCCCCCCCCCCCUUCUCACCAUGACCUCUUCCCCUCAACGCGCGCGCAGGCGUCGACCGCGCGGUGUCGGACAUGUUUCCAUGUAUUUGCCUUUGCAUUAUGAGUACGGAAGCGUACGUGAUCACGUGCACGCAUAUGCAUGCCCGCCCCCUUCUUCGGAGGCACUGACACCACUUCUCCGUCGCCCUUUUCCAUCUCCCCCUUCUCACGCUGGCAUGGGGAAG